rnacentral:rRNA from 1 species
CCUACGGGAGGCAGCAGUAGGGAAUAUUGCUCAAUGGGGGAAACCCUGAAGCAGCAACGCCGCGUGGAGGAUGAAGGUUUUCGGAUUGUAAACCUCUGUCAGCAGGGAAGAACGGUCACUGUGCUAAUCAGCAGUGAAUUGACGGUACCUGCAAAGGAAGCACCGGCUAACUCCGUGCCAGCAGCCGCGGUAAUACGGAGGGUGCGAGCGUUAAUCGGAAUUACUGGGCGUAAAGCGCUCGUAGGCGGUAUGUCAAGUCAAGGGUGAAAUCCCCGCGCUCAACGUGGGAACUGCCUUUGAAACUGGCAAACUGGAGUGUGUGAGAGGAUAGUGGAAUUCCAGGUGUAGGAGUGAAAUCCGUAGAUAUCUGGAGGAACAUCAGUGGCGAAGGCGACUAUCUGGCACAUAACUGACGCUGAGGAGCGAAAGCGUGGGUAGCAAACAGGAUUAGAUACCCUUGUAGUC